CUCCGGGAAAGGUGCGUGAUCAAGUUUCAAUCAGUUGGUAAUCCCGAACCAUCCUAAUAUUUCCAUCUAUUUAUGAUGCAUCUUUUAGUCUCAAUGUGGUUAUUAUCUCUUUUCCCGUCACGUAGUGGGGUACAAAUCUGCUGAGUCACAUAUAAAGGUGUUUUCCUAACAAUUGAAAUUCACAGGGGUGGAUAACUCUGUGGCGAGCCAAACUGACUUCCGGGUUGGUGACGUCAUCUGUAGUUUCUUUAUGUAGGAGGUCGAGCGGACAGUUGAAACUCAUAUGGAAAUGUAUUUGUUUAUUCCAUCAGAGUAAAAAGGAUUAAAAAAGGUCCUGGUGUGACACCUUUCAUCAAACCGACACAACGCAGAAGGUCACCGGUCACACAGACACACCUGGAAUAUGUGAAAAUAUGACUGGUGACACGGCUUACCGCCGUGGUCGCGCGUUAGUCCUAAUUGACACACCGGGCAAAAGAGGAGAGGAGAGGAGGCGUUUGUUGGCACCGUCGCCAUGGCGAUCGUCCGCGUUGCUAGGCAGCCGCAGGGAUGCUGGUUGAGGCAAAGCGCGAUUGGAGCUGCAGCUGGGACAGGCUCCAGCACUCCCCGUGACCCUUGUGAGUAUAAGCGGCACAGAAGAUGGAUGGAUGGAUGUCUGACUGUCUCCACCCGUGGCUUGGGUUGGACAAGCAAAGAUCAAAAGACACUUUCAAGCAACAACAAGAAUACAUUUGUGUGAAAUGCCGUCCACGUCCAAGACAAAAGACUCCACUUUGCUCUGCUUUUGCAAAUCGAAGUCACUCGCCUCGCAGUCACACCCCACAAGUCCACUCCCGUCGCUAGGGUAAAAAAAGCCGGCCCAGCACUUCAUGCGCAAAAACGGUA